rnacentral:sRNA from 1 species
GUAAUAAUGGAAAGGCAGGAAGUUAUAAGGCCGGUGGCUGUCUUUUCCUGGUGAGGUGAGGUCUAUGGAAACAUGGAAGAAUCUUCAGAAAGGUUUCACAGCUAAUGAGUGUCUUUCGGGCACUUACGUUGAUGCUGAUGUUUGGCACGUUUGUACUAACGUUGCUAGAUUACAU